AGCACAAACCAACGGUCGUGAAAACCGAGCAAAGCUCCGUGAAAAACGCAGAAAUUCGUCGAACGAAAUUGAUAUCGAGCGAUAAGCUGGAUUAAAGCGGAAAUCGAGGAAAAUCGAGGAAAAUCAGUGAUUUUCCCAGCGCGCGAGUGUGUGUGUGAAAAGCAGCCAGGAAUUGCAAACCCAAAACCACAGCCAAGACAAACUUUGACGGUAACCACGGAUACUACGCCAGGGAAAUCCGCACGUUGAUGGCUGCCACCAAAAUCAUCGAUGCGCCGCGCAACGGCCACGAGAUGGCGCCACUGAACACCCGGGCGAGGGGCGACGGCACCCACGGGGUGACCAUCGUCCUCACCGCCCCGCAGCGCAACUCCGUGCAGUCGGUGGACAUCCCGGGCAACGAGCCGGAACGCGCCGCCUGGAGCGGCAAGAUGCAGUUCUUCCUCAGCAUCAUCGGCUACUCGGUGGGCCUCGGCAACAUCUGGCGGUUUCCCUACCUGUGCCAACAGAACGGAGGCGGUGCGUUUCUGAUACCUUUUAUGAUUAUGCUGAUACUGGAAGGCAUUCCACUGUUCCUUAUCGAGCUGGGGAUCGGCCAGAGGAUGCGAUUGGGUGCCUUGGGUGUGUGGAACACCAUCCAUCCCUGGCUGGGUGGCAUCGGCAUCUCGUCGUGCAUAGUGACGCUGUUUGUGGCUCUGUACUACAACGUGAUUAUCACGUGGGUUUUCUUCUACCUCUUCAACAGUUUUCGGUAUCCGCUGCCCUGGUCCACCUGUCCGUUGAACGGCACAGGCUUUGAGCUGGAAGAGUGCGCCAAGUCCUCGGAGACGACGUACUUCUGGUACCGCACCACCUUGGAUGCAGCCCCCUCCAUGGACGAGCCCGGUGGCCUCAAGUGGUGGAUCGUGCUCUGCCUGAUGCUGUCCUGGACCAUUGUCUUCUUCAUCGUGAUGAAGGGCAUCCAGAGCUCAGGCAAAGUGGUCUAUUUCACCUCGCUGUUCCCCUACAUUGUGCUGACCAUCUUCUUCAUCCGCGGCAUUACGCUGAGAGGAGCCGGAGCUGGCCUGAUGCACAUGUACACGCCGAAGGUGGAGAAGCUACUCGAACCCACUGUCUGGCUGGAUGCAGCCACGCAGGUCUUCUACUCCUUCGGCCUGGCCUUUGGCUCCCUGAUCGCCUUCGGGAGCUACAACACGCCGAAGAACAACUGCGUGCGGGAUGUGCUCCUGGUGUCCGUCUGCAAUGCCGUCACGGCCAUCUACGCCAGCGUGGUCAUCUUCGCCAUUCUCGGGUUCAAGGCCACCGUGAAUGUGGACCGCUGUGUGGCCAGUAAUACGGACAUCCUGGUCAAGAACAAACUGCUGGGCGUAAAUGAGACCCAUAACUAUGAACAGACCAUGAGUAUGCUGAAUGGCACCGAGCUGACCAGGCUUCAGUUGAGCGAGUGCAGUCUGGCCCACGAACUGGACAAUGCUGCCGAGGGCACUGGCCUGGCCUUCAUCGUGUUCACCCAGGCCAUCGUGGAGCUGCCCGGGGCUCCCUUCUGGGCCGUGCUCUUCUUCACCAUGCUGCUGUCGCUGGGACUGGGCUCGCAGAUCGGCAUCCUGGAGGGCAUGCUGUGCACCCUCUUCGACAUUGACAUUAUCAAGCGGGUUAAGAAACAGCAUGUCACUGGCGUGGUGUGUCUCUUCUGCUUCAUUGUCGGUUUCAUCUUCUGCACAGGUGCCGGCGAGUACUGGCUCAAGAUGUUCGACUCCUUUGCCGGCACCAUUGGCCUCGUGGUGGUGGCCCUGAUGGAGAUGAUAGCAGUGAUCUUCAUCUACGGACACGAGCGCUUCACUGAGGACAUCUACCAGAUGACUGGCUACCGACCUGGUAUCUACUGGCAGUGGACUUGGCGGUACAUUGGUCCGGUGAUCAUGGUCUGCAUCCUGGUCUCAUCGGUGGUCUUUAUGGUCAUCAGGAAUCCCACUUACGGAGCUUGGAAUGCCGACUUGGGCAUGAUCGAGCAGAAGAGCUACCCCAACUGGGUGAUGGCCAUCGCCCUGUCCAUGAUCCUGGCCGGGGUCCUGCCCAUGCCCAUCGUGUUCCUCAUGCGUAGCUUCCAGUGCCUGAAGGUGGACCUGGACAUCCACCAGGGAUCGAUCCGCCGCAACGAGACAACCGCCUCCACCAAGGAGAUGAUCGACAAUGACGACGAUAAUAUGAGUCCGGAUAUGCCACCGCAAGAUUCACUAGCGGCGACACGCUUCACAAUUGGAGACUUUGAAAAUUAGAACGAACCGUAACCGAAAACGAAAUCGAAGCCAUGGAUACGAACUCAAGUGCAGCGCCAAGUUUUAGAGAACCCCAAACAAAAAUCAGCAGCCAGAUAAAACUAGGAUAGCUCUUAAAGUAGUUCACCAAAGCCCUUUGCAUGGCCCAGAAACACAGAACACCGAACACCGAACACUGAACACCCAGAGAAACCGAACAAACACCAAGGACAUGCCUCGACUCAAGUAGAAACCAACUGCUCAUCCUCGGUUACCAAGCAAUUACCUGUACUCAAUACCACUAAGAACUAAUCAACGCACAGCAAUUAAUCGUAGCUAGAAAAAAAUCGCAUACAGCUCUUUCAAACCGAAAAAAACUGAAAAGGCCAGAACAAUUAUUUACAAAACUUAAGUUUAGGGAAAAGACUAGCAAAAUCGCUUGAGGGCUCAGCAGAAGUAGGGCAAUGAGUGUACAUAGAUGUAGGCAGUUCUAAACCAAUAUAGAAAUCCAAUUGGCGGCUGAUCGUGGCUUAAAAGUAACAGGACGAUGAGGACGACGAGAACGACUUCAGUGGCCCGGCGCUCGGUGGUCACGUGAAGACCCAGAGCGAUUUCUCCGACGACGAGGAGGAGGACAAGCCCAUGACCAUGCGGAUGAUGAUGAUGCGUCCGACGACUAC